rnacentral:rRNA from 1 species
UGAAUACGAGACGCUAAGGCGUCGAAGUAGUGUAUGUCAUACUUCCAAGAAAAGCUUGCACUGUCAUAGAUAAAAAACGCCUGUACCAUAACCGACACAGGUGGGUAGGUAGAGUAUACUAAGGGGCGCGAGAUAACUCUCUCUAAGGAACUCGGCAAAAUAACUCCGUAACUUCGGGAGAAGGAGUGCCUUAUUAUUAAGGCUGCAAUAACAAGAUCCAAGCAACUGUUUAUCAAAAACACAGGUCUCCGCUAAGUCGUAAGACGAUGUAUGGGGGCUGACGCCUGCCCAGUGCCAGAAGGUUAAAGAAGUUGGUUAGCAUUUGCGAAGCUGAUAACUGAAGCCCUGGUGAACGGCGGCCGUAACUAUAACGGUCCUAAGGUAGCGAAAUUCCUUGUCGGGUAAGUUCCGACCCGCACGAAAGGCGUAAUGAUUUGGAUACUGUCUCGGAGAGGGGCUCGGUGAAAUAGACUUGUCUGUGAAGAUGCGGACUACCUGCACCAGGACAGAAAGACCCUAUGAAGCUUUACUGUAACUUGAAAUUGAAAUUGGACUUUAUUCGCGCAGCAUAGGUGGGAGGCGUUGAUUAUAAUCUUGUGGGAUUAUUGGAGCCAUCAGUGAGAUACCACUCUUGUAAUGUUAGAUUUCUAACUUUGAAUCAUUAUCUGGUCAAAGAACAGUUUCAGGCGGGCAGUUUGACUGGGGCGGUCGCCUCCUAAACGGUAACGGAGGCGUACAAAGGUUUCCUCUGAACGGUUAGAAAUCGUAUCUAGAGUGUAAAGGCAUAAGGAAGCUUGACUGUGAGACCUACAAGUCGAGCAGGGACGAAAGUCGGUCUUAGUGAUCUGACGGUACUGAGUGGAAAGGCCGUCACUCAACGGAUAAAAGUUACUCUAGGAUAACAGGCUGAUCUCCCCCAAGAGUUCACAUCGACGGGGAGGUUUGGCACCUCGAUGUCGGCUCAUCGCAUCCUGGGGCGGUAGUACGUCCCAAGGGUUGGGCUGUUCGCCCAUGAAAGCGGUACGCGAGCUGGGUUCAGAACGUCGUGAGACAGUUCGGUCCAUAUCCGGUGUAGGCGUUAGAAUAUUGAGAGGAGCCUUCUUUAGUACGAGAGGACCGAGAAGGACAUACCUCUGGUGUACCAGUUAUCGUGCCAACGGUAAACGCUGGGUAGCCAUGUAUGGAGUGGAUAACCGCUGAAAGCAUCUAAGUGGGAAGCCCACCUCAAGAUAAGUA